AGCGAACGCUGGCGGCAGGCCUAACACAUGCAAGUCGAACGAGUGGCGGACGGGUGAGUAACACGUGGGAACGGGCCUUUAGGUUCGGAAUAACUCAGGGAAACUUGUGCUAAUACCGAAUGCCUUUAGAGCGGCCAGCGUGCGAUUAGCUAGGUGGGGAGGUAAAGGAUCACCAAGGCGACGAUCAGUAGCGGGUCUGAGAGGCUGAUAAGCCACAUUGGGACGGAGACACGGCCCAAACUCCUACGGGAGGCAGCAGUGGGGAAUCUUGCGCAAUGGGCGAAAGCCUGAUGCAGCCAUGCCGCGUGUAUGAAGAAGGCCUUCGGGUUGUAAAGUACUUUCAGCGGGGAGGCGUUACCCGCAGAAGAAGCACCGGCUAACUCCGUGCCAGCCGCCGCGGUAAUAC
rnacentral:rRNA from 1 species